rnacentral:rRNA from 1 species
CUACUCUACGGGAGGCAGCAGUGGGGAAUAUUGCACAAUGGGCGCAAGCCUGAUGCAGCGACGCCGCGUGAGGGAUGACGGCCUUCGGGUUGUAAACCUCUUUCAGUAGGGAAGAAGCGUAAGUGACGGUACCUGCAGAAGAAGCGCCGGCUAACUACGUGCCAGCAGCCGCGGUAAUACGUAGGGCGCAAGCGUUAUCCGGAAUUAUUGGGCGUAAAGAGCUCGUAGGCGGUUUGUCGCGUCUGCCGUGAAAGUCCGGGGCUCAACUCCGGAUCUGCGGUGGGUACGGGCAGACUAGAGUGAUGUAGGGGAGACUGGAAUUCCUGGUGUAGCGGUGAAAUGCGCAGAUAUCAGGAGGAACACCGAUGGCGAAGGCAGGUCUCUGGGCAUUAACUGACGCUGAGGAGCGAAAGCAUGGGGAGCGAACAGGAUUAGAUACCCUGGUAGUCCAUGCCGUAAACGUUGGGCACUAGGUGUGGGGGACAUUCCACGUUUUCCGCGCCGUAGCUAACGCAUUAAGUGCCCCGCCUGGGGAGUACGGCCGCAAGGCUAAAACUCAAAGGAAUUGACGGGGGCCCGCACAAGCGGCGGAGCAUGCGGAUUAGUUCGAUGCAACGCGAAGAACCUUACCAAGGCUUGACAUGAACCGGAAAGAUCUGAAACCAUUCCCCCCA